GCCACCGGAGAGGGGCAGGAGAGGCGCAUGCUGCGCUCUCCUCCCCUCACAGACAGCAGCAGCACGGGGGAAGGGGGGGCCAGGAGCCGGCUGAGCCGCAUAGAGCCGCGGGUUGGCCACCCCUGUUCUAAGAUUAGGGCACCCACUGUCAUCCCAUGUCCUUCCCAGUGAAAUGUUCUGGGCCAGGGUCAUGCAGGGCCGCUGGAGGGCGGCACUUAGAAGCACAACUAGCAGUGAGAGGCCUCCACUUUCCCCCGCAACUCACGGCACCGUUUGUUUUUAAAAUACAGUUCGGUGGGUUCCGGAGGGUUGGAGGGGAUUGAGGACAAGUGCGGCAUCAGGCAGGCAGCAGGUGCCCGCCCCCCGACAGAAGCAGCCGCCCACCUCGCGCUAUCUUCAGCGCACUAUGCACUCGUAGCCGGCGGCAGCACCAGGAACAGUGCCUCCCCGCCAGCAGCAGCCGCCUGGCCCUCACUAGCUGCUGUGCACCAUGGAGCCGCCGGCAGCAACAGCAGCAGUAUCUCCCCGCUAGGCGCUAGCAGAAGCGCUAACCCGGGCGGCAUCAUGAGCCGGAAGAUGGUGGCAGCAGCGGGGAACAGUACAGCAUCCUGGCCAGCGCCUUCAUUUCCUUUAAGAGAACAUCAGCCCUGAACUAAUAGCAGAUACGCCUGAAGUACGUGGGCUGGGUCAUUCAGCAUCGCUCAGCAGUGCUGCAGUCAGGUUUCCCUGACUAUGCAAUUCAUUUCUCCAGCAUCUGCAGGACACGGCCACUCGUUCUACAUGUGCUUACAAACGUCAUCAUAUACAGCUGAGUACUAUAUACUGAUAAAUAGAAUUGUCACAUGGUUUCAGUGGUAACAAUAAUAAAAUAGAAAGAAGGUGGAAUAAAUGUAUAGAGCUAUAUAUAGAACAUUUACUAUUUAUCCGGGUGGAGUGGAUAAGGAGAAGGAACACAUUUUAAAGAUAAAGAGGUUCAGUGAUCACUUGUUAUAUAACAGGAUUACACGGUGGCGAGUCGUUUUUCUCUUUCAUGAUAAUCUCAUUAUUAGGGGAACACACAUUUUAUUAUCCCAAAGCGCCAGUACUCCUGUUACUUCUUUUUUAGGUUUAGAAGGAAAAAUACCAUAAAGCAUUUUUAACCACAUGAUAUUCAUAUGACCGUACCCAUGAUGCUUCACUUCAGUGACCCUUUCUUAUUAUAGUACAAGGGGCAUGCAAUACGUUUCUGGAUGUGCAGUGUAUAGGUAGAGUAUACAGAACCUGACGGUCUGAUUGUGUACUGUAAUCUUUGACUACAGUUCCUGUCAGAGCCGGCCUUAGGCAUAGGCAAACUAGGCAAAUGCCUAGGGCAUUUGGUAUGCUU